UACGUAGGGGCUAGCGUUAUCCGGAAUUACUGGGCGUAAAGGGUGCGUAGGUGGUUUCUUAAGUCAGAGGUGAAAGGCUACGGUUCAACCGUAGUAAGCCUUUGAAACUGGGAAACUUGAGUGCAGGAGAGGAGAGUGGAAUUCCUAGUGUAGCGGUGAAAUGCGUAGAUAUUAGGAGGAACACCAGUUGCGAAGGCGGCUCUCUGGACUGUAACUGACACUGAGGCACGAAAGCGUGGGGAGCAAACAGGAUUAGAUACCCGCGUAGUCCUUGAGCGGG
rnacentral:rRNA from 1 species